GAACAGCAUACAGACAACAAAUGGAGAGCAUACGAUCAUAAAUUCCUUUUCGACUGCACAAGCUUACAGACUGAACCACCACCAUGGGAGUCUCCAUGCCAAGUGUAGAGCCACGGUGCCGCCAUGAAGCUACAUGAAUGCCCCGAGUAUUGCCCAAAAAUGUGUGGAAGUGCAUAAUUGAGACAAAACAUUUGUUUUACGGGACAUUAUCUUUAGAAAAGGUUUUACGGGACAGUAUCUUUAGAAAAGGUUUUACGGGACAGUAUCUUUAGAAAAGGUUUUACGGGACAGUAUCUUGAGAAAAGGUUUUACGGGACAGUAUCUUUAGAAAAGGUUUUACGGGACAGUAUCUUGAGAAGAGGUUUUACGGGACAGUAUCUUUAGAAAAGGUUUUACGGGACAGUAUCUUUAGAAAAGGUUUUACGGGACAGUAUCUUGAGAAAAGGUUUUACGGGACAGUAUCUUGAGAAAAGGUUUUACGGGACAGUAUCUUGAGAAAAGGUUUUACGGGACAGUAUCUUGAGAAAAGGUUUUACGGGACAGUAUCUUGAGAAAAGGUUUUACGGGACAGUAUCUUGAGAAAAGGUUUUACGGGACAGUAUCUUUAGAAAAGGUUUUACGGGACAGUAUCUUGAGAAAAGGUUUUACGGGACAGUAUCUUGAGAAAAGGUUUUACGGGACAGUAUCUUGAGAAAAGGUUUUACGGGACAGUAUCUUUAGAAAAGGUUUUACGGGACAGUAUCUUUAGAAAAGGUUUUACGGGACAGUAUCUUGAGAAAAGGUUUUACGGGACAGUAUCUUUAGAAAAGGUUUUACGGGACAGUAUCUUUAGAAAAGGUUUUACGGGACAGUAUCUUGAGAAAAGGUUUUACGGGACAGUAUCUUGAGAAAAGGUUUUACGGGACAGUAUCUUUAGAAAAGGUUUUACGGGACAGUAUCUUGAGAAAAGGUUUUACGGGACAGUAUCUUUAGAAAAGGUUUUACGGGACAGUAUCUUGAGAAAAGGUUUUACGGGACAGUAUCUUUAGAAAAGGUUUUACGGGACAGUAUCUUUAGAAAAGGUUUUACGGGACAGUAUCUUUAGAAAAGGUUUUACGGGACAGUAUCUUGAGAAAAGGUUUUACGGGACAGUAUCUUGAGAAAAGGUUUUACGGGACAGUAUCUUUAGAAAAGGUUUUACGGGACAGUAUCUUUAGAAAAGGUUUUACGGGACAGUAUCUUUAGAAAAGGUUUUACGGGACAGUAUCUUGAGAAAAGGUUUUACGGGACAGUAUCUUGAGAAAAGGUUUUACGGGACAGUAUCUUUAGAAAAGGUUUUACGGGACAGUAUCUUGAGAAAAGGUUUUACGGGACAGUAUCUUUAGAAAAGGUUUUACGGGACAGUAUCUUUAGAAAAGGUUUUACGGGACAGUAUCUUGAGAAAAGGUUUUACGGGACAGUAUCUUGAGAAAAGGUUUUACGGGACAGUAUCUUUAGAAAAGGUUUUACGGGACAGUAUCUUUAGAAAAGGUUUUACGGGACGGGUGAUAAAAAUGGCGGAGCUCUUUAUUUUCUGCUUCUUGUUGAUGAAACAGUUGAUUGCAUAAUGAGUCAUUUUGAGGUGCCAGUUAACAUGUAUUGUAAUGCUAAUGGCCUGUUUAGAGCUGGGACAAAGUCAUUAAAAUAUAAA